AACGAACGCUGGCGGCAGGCUUAACACAUGCAAGUCGAGCGCCCCGCAAGGGGAGCGGCAGACGGGUGAGUAACACGUGGGAAUCUACCCAUCUCUACGGAAUAACGCAUGGAAACGUGUGCUAAUACCGUAUACGUCCUUCGGGAGAAAGAUUUAUCGGAGAUGGAUGAGCCCGCGUUGGAUUAGCUAGUUGGUGGGGUAAAGGCCUACCAAGGCGACGAUCCAUAGCUGGUCUGAGAGGAUGAUCAGCCACACUGGGACUGAGACACGGCCCAGACUCCUACGGGAGGCAGCAGUGGGGAAUAUUGGACAAUGGGCGCAAGCCUGAUCCAGCCAUGCCGCGUGAGUGAUGAGGCCCUAGGGUUGUAAAGCUCUUUCACCGGUGAAGAUAAUGACGGUAACCGGAGAAGAAGCCCCGACUAACUUCGUGCCAGCAGCCGCGGUAACAC
rnacentral:rRNA from 1 species